ACAGUCCCAGAGAGGCCUGUUUGCUAUUUUUUGCAAAUGCCAGCUGACAGAUCUCUUUCCUUGGCCUUGGGUUGUACAUUAGAGACAGGGAAUAAGACGGCUUUGACUCUCACUUGGGACAUGUAAACAACGCCUUGCCGGCAAGCGUGAGGCAGAAUGAAGCAGGGAGUGUCUGAACACCUGCUUUCUCCCUGCUGCCUCUCAGUGUGACUCCACACUUUCUACUUCUCCCUGAGCUUCGAUUUCUCCUCCAACACUGGAUCAAUAAGCUCAGCAUUCUCCUUCGAGAAGGCAGUGAUAACAAUCAAGUCAGGAUGGUGCCUACAACAACCCGUGGAAGGAGGGAGGGGAAAGGUGUGGACACCUUCUGCCCAAUCUCGAUGAUCUGCCCGCUUUGCUUCUAGGACAUCCGAUGCUCACCAAGCUCUGCCUACAUGCCAGGCCGGUGCUGGCGGGUGGGGACACACGCUGACCAGCACACCGAGCAGUGCCUCUACUCUUUACCAGAAGGUGCCAUUUACAGGUUCCAGGGACGAGGACCCGGAGAUCUUUGGGGGCACUCAUCCAGGCUACUAUGCUUCCAAAAAGGAGACUGAGAAGGCAUGUAAGAGUCUUCAACAGUGACACUGAGCCAGAAGCUACUUCUGAGGGAAGACGUCCUCCAAACUACAACUCUCCACCUGUGUACCAUGGAUCAGAGACCUGCAGCCCACAGCACAACCUGGCCAGAACCGUGAGCAGCAAGAUCACUUACCUCAAUCUCUUCCCACACUCGUGACUUCACUCUCACCCAACAUAAAACUAGCUGAGGGCUGCCAUUCAGUUAAAAUCUGAUGUUCGGGGCAGCCCUGGUGGCUUAGCAGUUUAGUGCUGCCUUCAGCCUGGGGAGUGAUCCUGGAGACCUGGGAUCAAGUCCCAUGUCAGGCUCCCUGCAUGGAGCCUGCUUCUCCCUCUGCCCAUGU